UUGGGGUUACAAGCGUGUUGAGGAGAUUAUUUGGGUUAAGACCAAUCAACUUCAGCGAAUCAUCAGAACUGGACGGACAGGCCAUUGGCUCAAUCACAGCAAGGAACAUUGCCUUGUUGGAAUAAAGGGAAAUCCAGAGGUGAACAGGAAUAUUGAUACUGAUGUCAUAGUAGCAGAGGUUCGGGAAACAAGUCGUAAGCCAGAUGAGAUGUACCCCUUGCUCGAAAGAAUUAGUCCAAGGACAAGAAAGCUGGAGUUAUUUGCUCGGAUGCACAAUGUUCAUGGCGGGUGGAUGUCACUUGGAAACCAACUACAAGGGGUACGAUUAGUUGAUGAAGGGCUUAGGGCGCGGUUCAAGGCUGCAUAUCCAGAUGUGGAGGUGCAACCUGCAUCACCUCCAAGGCCAUCUGCAAUGGAAGUAGAUUCAAGUUCUAAUCAAAUAAGGAAUACAUUUGCUGGGGGUGAAUUAAAGGCUGCAGGGACACAGGUCACUGAGGCUACACCUCCAGAUGCAGCAGCCUAUGCAACUGAAGGAAAACCAGUAAACCGUGAUGUGGAGAUGACUAGCUAAGAACUUUGUCAUAGAACUAGUUAUUUAUCCCUGUACUGUUUCCACCUGUCCACAAGAUUUUGCAGGUGGAUGUGGAGUACUACUUCCAUCAAGAUUCUCAGGCGGCCGGACAAGUCACUGUUAACCAUCAAAAAGCAGCCUUACAGUAGUCCCCUCAAGUAUAAUAGUUGAUAAAACGUACUGCUACCUUUCUUUGUUGUUUCCUCGAAGUACAGGUAGUGGGUGUUUUACAUGUAACUUGUAAGCACACAUAUAUCUCUUAGUCCACUUAGUGAACGGAUGACCCAAGUUUUUGGUUGCAAUGUAAUCUACCAUCAUAGCUCAACAUACACGAG
rnacentral:misc_RNA from 1 species